rnacentral:tRNA from 1 species
GGAGGCGAGCGAGCGCCUGGUGGGCUCCCCGGUCUUCAAAACCGGUGGGGGGUCAAAAGACCCCCGGCGGGUUCGAUUCCCGUCCGCCUCCGCCA